GAUGAACGCUGGCGGCGUGCCUAAUACAUGCAAGUCGAGCGAACAGACGAGGAGCUUUCUCCUCUGACGUUAGCGGCGGACGGGUGAGUAACACGUGGAUAACCUACCUAUAAGACUGGGAUACCUUCGGGAAACCGCAGCUAAUACCGGAUAAUAUAUUGAACCUCAUGGUUCAAUAGUGAAAUACGGUUUUUCUGACACUUAUAGAUGGAUCCGCGCCCGAUUAGUUAGUUGUUAAGGUAACGGCUUAACAAGGCAACGAUGCGUAGCCGACCUGAGAGGGAGAUUGGACAGACUGGAAGUGAGACAGGGCCCAGACUCCUACGGGAGGCAGCAGUAGGGAAUCUUACGCAAUGGGCGAAAGCCUGACGGUGCAACGCCGGCUGAGGGAUGAAGGUGUUCGGAUCGGAGAACUCUGUUAUUAGGGAAGAACAAAUGUGUAAGUAACUAUGCUCAUCUUGACGGUACCUAAUCAGAAAGCCCCGGCUAACUACGUG
rnacentral:rRNA from 1 species